UGACUAUUACUAUAACUUCUAUAUGUGAGUUUUCAUAGUUAAAGUUUUGAUGAUGUGAUAUGAUUUUGAGGAACUCGCUAGUAAACAGUUAUUAUACAUCAAAAUGAAUCAAGAAAAGGGUGGUGAAGGAUAUGAAAAGUAAUUGCAGUAUGAAGGAUAAAGAAGAAAGCGAAUUCUUUUCAACUAAUACAACUUUGUUGUUAAAGCUCUCACUACAUCAUACAGACAUCUCAAAUAAUGGAAUGUAUUUUCUCACACAAAACAUCUUUCUAAGUGAUAUGAAGCUAAUACAUUAUUUAAACAAUGCUUCUAGGAAUUUGGAGGAAUGUUCAGGUGUGAUCAUUGAAGAAGACCAUGAACAGGAUUUCUUGCUUGUGAGUUAUGCAUCUCAUUCAUUGAGGAACAAGCUUAACUACUGUAAAGACUUCUGUUGUUGCCACCAAUUGCUUGGUAUCUGUGUAAGAUCAUUAACUUUAAAGAUGGAUGUAAAUAUGGUAUAUUGCUGUUUGAAAGAGUUAGAAAAUUCAGAACAUUAUCGCCGCAUAGUUAUCGGAAACAUAUAUGCUACAUACAGAACAACGAAGAAAAAAAUACCAUCAUUGCUUUGUAGCACUUGUAAUUCAUUUAUUAAUGUUUUUAGUUUAUCUGUUGAGGUGACAUGGCCACAGAAACAACUUUUGGAUAAAAUUUGGAACCACAAAAUUCAAGUCCUAGUGACAGAACAAGCAACUAUGGAAAAUGCUAUGGCAUGGCUUUCAACAUUAGGUGGAGCUUAUUCUGCACUUGGAGACCAGUUCCAACGCUGUGCUAUUGAAGCUGGAAGAAUUUCCAUGCAGCAGUUGAAAGUAGCACUACGAUUGGGAGAACCUCUUUUAAUAUGUCGCUGCAGGAUCUUUAUAGCUAUGAGCUUACUACAACUAGGUUAUCUCAAGGACACUAAGCACAUCAUAUGGUCUCAAUACAAGUUUGCUAAGUCAGCUUAUGGAGAAAAAGACUUCAGACUUUCCAACAUGUGUAAAGCUGUGUGGGCUCGUCUCAAGUACCAGUGGAAUCAGUGUAAAUCAAGACCUACCAAUGAAGUGGACAAAAGAUGACUGAUGUCUAUUGUAGGGAAAAUGUGUACUGGUACACUAGUUUAAAUAUAGGUUCAUUACUGAAAUAUACGCAGAUCCAUUUGAUGUCAUUUAUAUAUCUAGAAUUAUAAAAAAGGCAUUAACCAUCUUUAGGUCAGCUAACAUUAAUGUCAGUUAAAGAAAUACACAAAGAACUUUUCAUUAUAUAUAUAUAUAAAUAAAACUAACAGCAGUUAGUUCCAGUUGAUGUAUAGUUUUAAAACAUUGGACAUGUACUUCCAGCAUGUAAUAAAAUUCAAACACAUAUUUUGGCAUACAUAACUCUUGGAUAUCAAAUUGUGUGAGAAUUCAAUGUAAUUAAUAGUCAUUUGGUGAUAAAGAUAUAGUUGAUUAAGAGCAAGUGAAGACAUUUACAAAAUUGACAGUUUUAGUUAGCCAUCAUGUAAACAUAUAAUUAUUAAGUUUGACUUUUUAACCUUUCAACAAUAAUUCUGACUACAUAGUACUCAUUUGGCAUUAAUAAAAAUCUUGUUUGCAUAUGCUACCAAAAUAUAAACAUUUCAAAAUCAGUUUUAACAACUAUAACCGGGCUCUUCUUCACUAUAAUUGUAGGCAGAUAUUUUACUAAAAUACUUUUGACACAGUCUUGAAAGAAAUCGUUACAAAAGUAUUUCUUUUUGGACAUGUAUUUAUAGAUUAAACCUAUCUUACAAGUAGAUUACAUUUUGAGACAUCAUAUUUCAUUUAAUUGUACUGGAUGCUUUUACAAACCAUUUACAUUUUAGAGAAACGACAGUGUUAAAUACAGUUUUUCAUACCAUCAAUCUUACCUUAAGUUCUGUUUAGUAAGAUACUGAAAUUAUUAUUAAAAGUUGUCACAUUCAAAGAGGUUUAAUGAGACAUCAGUAUAAGUGUAUCAUUAUAGCCAAGUGACUUGGGACAAAAUAAGGUGGCCUUUGUGGAUCGUUACUGUAGCUCUCAUGAACAAGACAGCAGGUCCAUAUCAGAAGACUACAGAUACUUCAGUAUUUCCUGCCACAGCAGCAGAUUUAAAAUCAACUCAAAUUCUGUCAUAGCUUUGUGAAGACCAUGUGCUUCAGCAGCCACUUGUCAACAUUCUGAACUUUUUCCAAGCUUUUAACCAAGCAGGAUACGUUAUCAAAACCAUUGUGGCAGACUGAUGUCAACUGCACCAGUACGUAUCUUGGAACGUUUUGAAAGAUAUUUCUUCAGUUUUCAGAACUUCAAAGGUCUUGUGGUAUUCUUGAAGUCUGACCAUACUUGAUGUGUAUAAGGAGUAAAUUUUAUCCAAAAUUCAAAAAAACAUCACAGCUUGUAUUGAGGCUUGGCAUGGAUUGAUUGAAAUCAUCUGCACAAUUACAACUGAAUUGUUUUCCUGUGCAACUCUUUCCUAUGCAACACUUUUUUCACCAGCCAUAUUAAAACAACCAUCUUAACAUUGCCCACAACAAACCUGAACAGUUAGAUCCCACUCUUGGAGAUUAUUUAUUAUAACAUGAAAUAAAUAUUCAGUAGUUGCUGAAACAACUUUUUCAAAGACCAUAAAACCUCUGCUACAUCAUAGUGUACAUUUUUACAAAAGUGAUAUUCGAACUUGUUCAGAUAUAGAUUUAAUCAAGUCAUUUUGUAUUUCUGGGCUAAGAUAAGACUUCUUUUAUCAGUCUGUCAUAUGUUUUGCAAGGGCUGUAUCACAUUCAGCCAACAAUUCCAGGAAAUUCCCUUUAUUAACAGACAAAUUUUCUGAACUGUUAUAUACUCUCUUUGCCUGCCAGAGGCAAAGUUUUGCCAAAGUAGAAAGAUAAUUACUUAGUGACUUCCUUCACAGUAAGUCUAUUAUUUUCUAUAGCAGGUAUAUGAGCAUUAAGCUGUUGGUGAUUAACAGUUUUCUUAUCCAUGAUUCUUUGAUGUAUUUUUGUAAUUCCACAGGCUUUCUUUAUAUGUGUUGGAGAACAUUCAUGUUCUCUUAUUCUUUGUCCCUUUUUUUUUCCAUUUACAAAAUCCAUGCCCAGAAUCACACCAUGUUGGCUCAUUUUGGGAUUAUCCCAUAAAUAAAAGACAAGGAAAACAAAUUACUUUUUCCAAUUUAAAAGAGUAGCUUAGCCAGUCUUUUUGAAUCUGUGAUUAGCCAAGCUGUUUGAAAAGAAUGGCCUUUGGAAUUCUUUCUGAACUCGUAUUCACCUUCCAUUACCAGGCUGGUAGGGUUUAGCAUUUUAGGAAUCAAAGGCUUAUUAGCUAAAAUGGCAAGAUCAGAAGGGAAGGGCAAUGUAUGAUUUAAUGAUGGUUUGUAAGCAGUGCUUCCAAAAUGGUACUAACUUCUUUCACCAAAAGCUAUCUCGAUCUUGAUUUGCCCUCUAAGAAUUGCUAAAAACGUUUUUGCUAAUAGCACAUCAGUCUGUUAUACCCUUUUAUUUUUGUGCCAUUUCAGAACAUGUGCAUAUCAUGUGACUACCCACCACCAAUCAUACUGUGCCACCUACACUAGUGCAGGUAGCUCCUUCUACCAUUCUAGAAAAAUCCCCCCUUUCUCAAUUGGCAUUACAGUAUAUAGACAUGUGUUUAUUUUGCCCCAUGUGCUUGCUUUUUAGUUGUAAUUGCAUUUCAGUCCUUCACUGGUUUUAAACUUAGUGUUUGCUUUUGAAUUUUAGUUUUGUUUUUCAAAGCAUUCUUCCAUAAUUUGAAUUAUAAUUUGAAAUAUGAAUUCAAAUUUUACAGUAGCGGAUGACAAAGUUCCUGCCAAUAUUGAGGAUAGUAAUGUCAAUAGUCUCUAGCAAGGUAGGUCGACGAUAUCUACUGAGGAAGUUUAAGUCUUAACUCACAGGGAGUUGGACACUUUUACUCAGCAGUCGGUUUGUUCUCCAUUUCUCCCUGAUGAAGCUGCUGAGGAAGUAUUUAUUCAGGGUUAAGAUAAUUUUCCGGCCUUUAUGGUCAGUCACAUAAUGCUGACAGUCAGGAGAGUUUGCUGACCUCACCAUUCCUACACCUUAUUGAUCAGAUAUGACAAAUUUUUAAUGUUUCAUCCUUACCUCUUGAUUCCUCUCUUACAUUUGGGGGGAAGAACCUCGUUCUGCUUAUGUUUUUCCACCCUCUCCUGACAUCCAAGUUCAUGCUCAACAUUUUGCUGAUCAAGUGCUGUUGGGUUCGGGUAUAUCCUCCCAGUUGAUGGACCAAUAUUUUUUGGCUUACCAGCAGGUCUCAAAUCCCUUUUAAGAUUCCUUUCUGGAUCCUCUCUUCCCCCCUGUAGGGCUUGAUUCUGGGGGCUUUGAUGCACUUUAAUCAAUCUCAGUUUUCUAGGAUUCAUCUUGCCCUGACAGCCCUUUUGCAUAUUAUUUCCUCAUUACAGUUGUUGUCUCAAACCUUUCACCAGUCACUCGAUAAAUUUUCUGAUGAACUCAAGACCCUCCCGUCUGUGGUCUGCUCUGUGCUGUUUCUGAACACCUGGUUAUUACUUGAGGGGGUGCAUCUCCCACUGUCUUCUAUGAGGCAUCUUCGCCAGGCCUUGUUUCUGUGUGAAAUGGUUUUUGGGGGUCACCCUGAGUUUUUGGAGUCUAGGGUUGAUGUGGCAAGGACACAUUCCAGCUUUCUCCACUUUGGCUCAAGGAUGUGGAGUGGGCAGUCAUGAAGGCAGUACAUUUGCUUUUUCUCACUGGGUUUCCUUGGAAGCUCUCAUUCCCUUGGGUCAAAUGCACAUGCGUUCCCUUCAGUGGAUGCUUAUCAAACAAUGGAACUUCUCCCAUGAUCCCUGAGAUCAUCCUAUUACCCUCCCUCCUGGGAUCAGAGCCAACCUUGCAUGGUGGCUCGACAGGGAAAUAACCACAGUGGGGAUUCCCACUCCACCAUCUCGUCCUGGUGCUCACCUGUUUACGGAUGCUUCCUUGGUAGGUUGGGCAGCUUUUCUUGAAUCCAGGAAGAUUUUGGGUCAGUCGUGAAAACUACAUUCCAUAUCAACCUCCUCAAACUUUUGGUUGUUCGUUAACCCUUUCGAGAUGGGUCACAGGUGA